rnacentral:rRNA from 1 species
CCUACGGGAGGCAGCAGUGAGGAAUAUUGGUCAAUGGACGAGAGUCUGAACCAGCCAAGUAGCGUGAAGGAUGACUGCCCUAUGGGUUGUAAAUUUCUUUUAUAUGGGAAUAAAAUGUUCCACGUGUGGGAUUUUGUAUGUACCAUACGAAUAAGGAUCGGCGAACUCGGCGCCAGCAGCCGCGGUAAUACGGAGGAUCCGAGCGUUAUCCGGAUUUAUUGGGGUUAACGGGUGCGUGGGCGGAUCGUUAAGUCAGUGGUAAAAUUGAGGGGCUCAACCCCUUCCCGCCAUUGAAACUGGCGCUCUUGAGUGGAAGAGAGGUAUGCAGAAUGCGUGGUGUAGCGGUGAAAUGCGUAGAUAUCACGCAGAACCCCGAUGGCGAAGGCAGCAUGCCGGCUUCCGACUGACGCUGAAGCGCGAAAGCGUGGGGAGCGAACAGGAUUAGAUACCCCGGUAGUC